rnacentral:rRNA from 1 species
UACGUAGGGGGCAAGCGUUGUCCGGAAUCAUUGGGCGUAAAGAGCGUGUAGGCGGCCCGGUAAGUCCGCUGUGAAAGUCCAGGGCUCAACCCUGGGAUGCCGGUGGAUACUGUCGGGCUCGAGUCCGGAAGAGGAGUGUGGAAUUCCUGGUGUAGCGGUGAAAUGCGCAGAUAUCGGGAGGAACACCUGUGGCGAAAGCGGCUCACUGGACCACAACUGACGCUGAUGCGCGAAAGCUAGGGGAGCAAACAGG